rnacentral:lncRNA from 1 species
CUGAAAAUGCUGCCAGGCGCCUAUUGUGUAAAUGUAGGUAUUUUGUAAAAAAUAACCUUGAAAUUGUAAAUUGACAUGUGUUUGGUCAGAUUGUGUCAGGUUUGUUUCCUUCCAUACUUUUAGCCAGAAAUCAGUCUCAUAAAGCUAUUUUUGAGUAUAGUUUGUGUAAAAUAAAAAUGUUUAGCUUUGGUAAUAACUUUUCCAAGCUGAACUCCCUCUAGCAAGAUAUUUUUCAGUGCUUUUAUUUACUAUGCACUUAGACUAUGCACUUUUUCUGAAAUAUUUUUGUAACACUUAACUUUUUUGUAUUUUUGCCAUUUGAAAAGGUUGUGGUGUAGUUGGUCUGUAAUUAAGUUGCAGAUUUAAAACUGCUGUUAGCUUUGUAAAUCAAAAUAUAGGUGUUUUUGUCCUGGUAUAUUGUCGUUCCAUCUGCAGCUGGAGUUG